rnacentral:rRNA from 1 species
UUGACCUCGGAUCAGUACG